CGAAGCCUGACGGAGCAAUACCGCGUGUGGGAAGAAGGCUUUUGGGUUGUAAACCUCUUUUAUCAGGGAAGAAGAAUUGACGGUACCUGAAGAAAAAGCAUCGGCUAACUCCGUGCCAGCAGCCGCGGUAAUACGGAGGAUGCAAGCGUUAUCCGGAAUCAUUGGGCGUAAAGGGUCCGCAGGUGGCGAAUAAAGUCUGCUGUUAAAGACCGGGGCUUAACUCCGGAAAGGCAGUGGAAACUGAUUAGCUAGAGUACGGUAGGGGUAGAGGGAAUUCCCAGUGUAGCGGUGAAAUGCGUAGAUAUUGGGAAGAACACCGGUGGCGAAAGCGCUCUACUAGGCCGAAACUGACACUGAGGGACGAAAGCUAGGGUAGCGAAAGGGAUUAGAUACCCCUGUAGUCUUAGCGGUAAACGAUGGAUACUAGGUGUAGCUUGUAUCGACCCGAGCUGUGCCGAAGCUAACGCGAUAAGUAUCCCGCCUGGGGAGUACGCACGCAAGUGUGAAACUCAAAGGAAUUGACGGGGGCCCGCACAAGCGGUGGAGUAUGUGGUUUAAUUCGAUGCAACGCGAAGAACCUUACCAGGGCUUGACAUGUCGCGAAUCUAGCGGAAACGUUAGAGUGCCUUAGGGAAUGCGAACACAGGUGGUGCAUGGCUGUCGUCAGCUCGUGUCGUGAGAUGUUGGGUUAAGUCCCGCAACGAGCGCAACCCUCGUCCUUAGUUGCCAAUAUUAAGUUAGGCACUCUAGGGAGACUGCCGGGGACAACUCGGAGGAAGGUGGGGAUGACGUCAAGUCAGCAUGCCCCUUACGUCCUGGGCGACACACGUACUACAAUGGUUGGGACAAAGGGCAGCAAGCUCGCGAGAGUAAGCGAAUCUCAUCAAACCCAGCCACAGUUCAGAUUGCAGGCUGCAACUCGCCUGCAUGAAGUAGGAAUCGCUAGUAAUCGCAGGUCAGCAUACUGCGGUGAAUUCGUUCCCGGGCCUUGUACACACCGCCCGUCACACCAUGGAAGCUGGCUACGCCCGAAGUCGUUACCCUAACCCGGUUUUGGGAGGGGGAUGCCGAAGGUAGAGCUAGUGACUGGGGUGAAGUCGUAACAAGGUAGCCGUACCGGAAGGUGUGGCUGGAUCACCUCCUUU
rnacentral:rRNA from 1 species